rnacentral:rRNA from 1 species
UGCGAGUUGUAUGGGAUACCUAGAUUUCCCAUAGCAAACUGCUUAGUAACACAUGAUCAACUUACCCUAUGGAGAAAUAUAACCUCGGGAAACUGAGGAUAAUACUUCAUAGUUGAAUAGGCUUGGAAAAGUUUUUCAAUGAAAGGGAUAAGAAAAAUGGUUCUUAUCUGCCAUAGGAUAGGAUCGUGCUCGAUUAUGGUUGUUGGUGAGGUAAAGGCUCACCAAGCCGAUAAUCGAUAGGGGCCGUGAGAGCGGGAGCCCCAAGAUGGGUACUGAGACAGCGACCCAGGCCUUACGAGGCGCAGCAGGUACGAAACCUCCGCAAUACACGAAAGUGUGACGGGGUUACCCAAAGUGUUCUUAUAGAACUGUGGCAGGUGAGUAAUGUCCCCUGCUAGAAAGGAGAGGGCAAGGCUGGUGCCAGCCGCCGCGGUAAAACCAGCUCUUCAAGUGGUCGGGAUAAUUAUUGGACUUAAAGUGUCCGUAGCCGGUUUAGUAAGUUCCUGGUAAAAUCAGGUAGCUUAACCAUCUGUAUGCUAGGAAUACUGCUAUACUAGAGGGCGGGAGAGGUCUGAGGUACUACAGGGGUAGGGGUGAAAUCUUAUAAUCCUUGUAGGACCACCAGUGGCGAAGGCGUCAGACUGGAACGCGCCUGACGGUGGGGGACGAAAGCCAGGGGAGCGAACCGGAUUAGAUACCCGGGUAGUCCUGGCCGUAAACGAUGCAUACUAGGUGAUGGCACGGCCAUGAGCCAUGUCAGUGCCGUAG